rnacentral:rRNA from 1 species
UUGACCUCGAAUCAGGUAGGAAUACCCGCUGAACUUAAGCAUAUCAAUAAGCGGAGGAAAAGAAACCA